rnacentral:ncRNA from 1 species
CGAGCGUUUAGGAGGGACGGGACUGAAUGCGCAGAAGUCAGCUGAAGCCGUAGUAGGUGGCGGUUAACCGCGCCAUCAAGGGC